UAGGGAAUCUUCGGCAAUGGGCGAAAGCCUGACCGAGCAACGCCGCGUGAAUGAUGACGGCCUUCGGGUUGUAAACCGCUUUCAGCAGGGACGAAGCGUGAGUGACGGUACCUGCAGAAGAAGCACCGGCUAACUACGUGCCAGCAGCCGCGGUGAUACGUAGGGUGCGAGCGUUGUCCGGAUUUAUUGGGCGUAAAGAGCUUGUAGGCGGUUUGUCGCGUCGGGAGUGAAAACUCAGGGCUUAACCCUGAGCCUGCUUCCGAUACGGGCAGACUUGAGGAAGGUAGGGGAGAAUGGAAUUCCUGGUGAAGCGGUGGAAUGCGUAGAUAUCAGGAGGAACACCAGUGGCGAAGGCGGUUCUCUGGACCUUUCCUGACGCUGAGAAGCGAAAGCGUGGGGAGCAAACA
rnacentral:rRNA from 1 species